rfam:Aedes aegypti strain Liverpool supercont1.44 genomic scaffold, whole genome shotgun sequence.
GGCUCGGUAGCUUAGUUGGUAAAGUACUCGUCUAGCAUACAAGAAUCAAUGGUUCGAAUCUCAACUGAGCUC